rnacentral:rRNA from 1 species
UACGAAGGACCCGAGCGUUAUCCGGAUUUAUUGGGUUUAAAGGGUGCGUAGGCGGAUUUACAAGUCAGUGGUGAAAUCUCCCGGCUUAACUGGGAAACUGCCAUUGAAACUGUUUAUCUUGAGUACAUUUGAGGCGGGCGGAAUGUGUCAUGUAGAGGUGAAAUUCUUAGAUAUGACACAGAACACCAAUUGCGAAGGCAGCUCGCUAAACUGUAACUGACGCUGAGGCACGAAAGCGUGGGGAUCAAACAGG